GCCGAGGUGGCGGAAUUGGCAGACGCACUAGAUUCAGGUUCUAGCGAGGUCACACUCAUGCAGGUUCAAGUCCUGUCCUCGGCA
rnacentral:tRNA from 1 species